rnacentral:lncRNA from 1 species
CCACCCGUCUUCCUUCUGCUGGGUCGUGUUAAAGCCUCUGCAUCCGUUUUGGUGCAUUUGAUGAAGCAAAUGCAAGCCACAGCAACAGGCGAAUUCCCCAGCGUAACAGAAGAGGGCAGAUCGCACCAUCUUCCCGAACCAGGACCCUCACUGGAAAAUGGAACUGAGCAGACUGUGCGUCCUGGGAGGACACUGGCAGCCCUGGGCAGAAGAGGACAGUUACCAGUUUGCUCAUUGCCAGCCCUAAGGGCUGAACUGCCCGACUGUGGUGUAGCUUUGACACCAUUACGAGAUAGACACUAGCAACCCUAUCUAGUGUCUGGGAAAGUCACCUCCCCCCCCCCCGAAAAAAAAAAGCAAUAUAUGACCCAAAGAGCCAGGAAGUCUGAACUCUCUCCAGAAAGGGAGGAUUCUAUGGGGAUUCCUGCAUAGGGAAUGUGAGUGUCUUUUAUUGUUUUUAUUGUCAACACAACCAAGAGUGACAAGAGUCUCAACUGAAGGACCUCCCAGAUCAGAUUGGCCUGUGGCUAUGUGUGUGGGGAACUGUGUUAGCUGCUGAUUGAUGGGGGAGGACCUAGCUCUCUGUGGGUUCACCACCACCACCACCACCACCACCACCUCUGGGCAGGUUGUCCUGGCUUGUGAUAGCAGGGCUGAAUAGGCAGAGAGACAGAGACACAGAGACACAGAGACACACACACACACACAGAGGGAGGUAGAGGAGAGAGAGAGAGAGAGAGAGAGAGAGAGAGAGAGAGAGAGAGAGAGAGAGAGAGCACAUCAUUCUUCCAAGUUCCCGUCUUGAGUUCCUGCCCUGGCUUCCCUCAAUGAUGGAUAUGACCUGGAAGUGGUCCACUCCAGAUUCUAUGGAGCCUACAUUCAACAGCAGCCGUGGGAGGGAGCAAUUCUUCAUCCUAACUCAGUCUCCAGGAGUAUGGUUGUCAAGAGAAGGCAAGAACGGUGCUGCAGAGAGCCAGUGACAGCCCCACCCUGAAGCUGGCUGGAAGGAGUCAGGAGUACCACACCCUCAAGGCCCAGCCUUCAAACCCCGCCCCCCCCCCCCCGUCCCGUCCCAUCUCCUAAAGUCCCACAGCCCCCCCCAACACACACACCCUAAACUGCAGGGUGGGGACACAGUGCUCAGAAUGAGCCUGUAGGGGAGCAUUCCAGAUUCAAACCACUGCACAAACAAAAAAAUAAUAAAAGACGAAAUUAAUGAAAAUGAAUACAAAUGCAGUCAGUGAAUUCAGAGAACGGGUGUGCUGAGAAAUGCCGGUGUCCUGGAGGUUCCGGUGGAACGAGACCUCACCGGAGCACAAGAGAGAUACGGAGGACAAACCCUGGCACCUAACACCGAAAGGAGAGUGGCUUUAGAAAAAGGAGAAAGGGGAAAUAUGUAUAAAGGGAAAACAAGAGUUGAACAAUUAAUUAAAGAGCAUUUUCUGAGCCUCAGAAAGACUUGAUUAAAGGGGCUGAUAAAGUUCCAGGAAGGAUUAAUUAAAGAAAGGCAUAUACUUAGACAGACCCUGGUGUAAUUCCAGAAUUAUAAACUCCCAGACAA